UUUUGAAUUCAUGGCUUUUAGAGUGUUCAUCUGGGCUUUUAGAGAUGCCUGUGAAAUACUUUUGCUGUGAACAAUCUCACUUCAAAGACAAUUAACAGGAAACUUGGCCCUUUGACUUGACUGCAUCACUUCUGGACGCUGUAUCCGCUCCACGGGGACACAGGAGGUUGAGUGUGGCCCAGCACCUCUGUCACCCCUCUCUGCUUGCUCUGAGUUCAGAGGACAGGACAGGAAACACCUGUGCAGCAACCCCGGGGCUGCCUGGGGCCUUCCCACACUGCAGCCACACCUUCUGUUUCUUUGCUCGCUGAGUCCCACGCCUGCCCCUGGCUAAGGUCUACUGCUGGGCCGAGAGUGCACAGUGUGGUGGUUUACGUUAGGAGCCUGUGCCGAACGGCCUCAGAACUGAAUUCUACGAGGAAGGGGAAGGCGACCUUCUGAGACCCCAAUUCAUGUGGUCCACAGGGUGGUCUUAGAGGAGAGUGCUCUGAUUAAGUUCUGAUGGUUACAGCAUCUUUUUUUUUUCUCGAAAUUUUGUUCUUUUUGGCUCAGUGUGUCUCCAUCAGCAGGACCCAGUUGGGUUUUUACAAUGACAUGAAAAGACGCUUGCCUGUGCUGUUUCCACACACGCCUGCGUGGGCACUUUCUGCG
rnacentral:lncRNA from 1 species